rnacentral:rRNA from 1 species
UCAAGUUAGAAAGGGCAUACGGUGGAUGCCUUGGUGCCAGGAGGCGAUGAAGGGCGUGGCCAACUGCGAUAAGCUUCGGGUAGCUGUAAGCAAGCUUUGAUCCGGAGAUUCCCGAAUGGGGCAACCCACUGGAGUAAACCUCCAGUAUCCCGUAAGGGAGGCUAACCGGGGGAACUGAACCAUCUAAGUACCCCGAGGAAAAGAAAGAAAUUCGAUUCCCUAAGUAGCGGCGAGCGAAAGGGGAACAGCCUAAACCCAAAGAGUGUAAUAACCCCUGGGUGUUGCUCUUUGGGGGUAGAGGGAAGAGAGAGGUUCUACCAGGGUGGAACCAGAGAGUUACCAAACCAGGUUUUAGCUGAACAGGUCUGGAAAGCCUGGCCAGAGAAGGUGAUAGCCCAGUAAGCGAAAAGAUCUGGUCUCUCCUCUCUUUCCCGAGUACCACGGUCCACGAGGAAUUCCGUGGGAAUCUGGGAGGACCAUCUCCUAAGGCUAAAUACUACCUGGCAACCGAUAGUGAACUAGUACCGUGAGGGAAAGGUGAAAAGAACCCCGGGAGGGGAGUGAAAUAGAACCUGAAACCGUAUGUCUACAAUACGUGGAAGAGCUAUGGAGAAGACCUAGUCUCCUCCAGCUCGACUGCGUGCCUUUUGGAGAAUGAGCCGGCGAGUUACGGUGGCUGGCAAGGUUAAGUGCUUAAGGCAUGGAGCCGUAGGGAAACCGAGUCUGAAUAGGGCGCAUAGUCAGUCAUCGUAGACCCGAAACCAGGUGAUCUACCCAUGGCCAGGGUGAAGUGGGGAUAAAACCCCAUGGAGGCCCGAACCGGUGUAGGUUGAAAACUGCUCGGAUGAGCUGUGGGUAGGGGUGAAAGGCCAAUCAAACCUGGAGAUAGCUGGUUCUCCCCGAAAUAGCUUUAGGGCUAGCCUCCGGUAGGAGGAGAGGGGGUAGAGCACUGAAUGGGCUAGGGGGCUAACCCGCCUACCAAACCCAACCAAACUCCGAAUACCUCUCCUUAAUGCCGGGGAGUCAGACUGCGAAGGAUAAGCUCCGUGGUCGAAAGGGAAACAGCCCAGACCGUCAGCUAAGGCCCCCAAACGUGGACUAAGUGGUAAAGGUAGUGACCUUGCUGAGACAGCCAGGAGGUUGGCUUAGAAGCAGCCAUCCUUUAAAAAGUGCGUAAUAGCUUACUGGUCUAGCGAUGUUGCGCCGAAAAAUUCUCGGGGCUCAAGUCCACUGCCGAAGCUACGGAUUCCAGAAUUUAGUUUCUAUCUUCUGGGAUGGUAGGGGAGCGUUGGGUAAGCCAGAGAAGCGGGACCGGAAGGACCCGUGGAGGUAUCCCAAGUGAGAAUGCCGGCAUGAGUAGCGAUAAAGAGGGUGAGAAUCCCUCUCGCCGUAAGCCUAAGGUUUCCUGAGGAAGGUUCGUCCUCUCAGGGUUAGUCGGAUCCUAAGCCGAGGCGGAAACGCGUAGGCGAUGGGUAACUGGUUGAUAUUCCAGUACUACCAGUUUUCUGUUAUUCCGAUGGGGUGACGCAGGAGGGUAGGCCAUCCGCCUGGAGGAAUAGGCGGUCUAAGCCAGUAGGCGGAGAAAAGGUAAUCCCUUUUCUCGAUAACGCUGAGAGGUGAUGGGGAGUCCCUACGGGGGCGAACUGGUUGAUCCCCCACUGACUAGAAAAGCCUCUAAGGAGGAAGAUUGGUAUCCGUACCGCAAACCGACACAGGUAGGCAGGAUGAGUAUUCUAAGGCGCGCGAGUGAUCCCCCGUUAAGGAACUCGGCAAGUUAACCCUGUAACUUCGGAAGAAGGGGUGCCUCUCUCGGUGAAUAGAUUUACACUAGGAGCGGAGAGAGGUCGCAGAAAAAUGGCUCUGGCGACUGUUUAUUAAAAACACAGGACUCUGCUAAGCCGUAAGGCGAUGUAUAGGGUCUGACGCCUGCCCAGUGCUGGAAGGUUAAGGGGAGGGGUUAGCGAAAGCGAAGCUCCAAACUGAAGCCCCAGUAAACGGCGGCCGUAACUAUAACGGUCCUAAGGUAGCGAAAUUCCUUGUCGGGUAAGUUCCGACCCGCAUGAACGGCGUAACGACCGGAGCGCUGUCUCAACGGGGAGCUCGGCGAAGUUUCAAUACAAGUGCAGAUGCUUGUUACCCGCGACUAGACGGAGAGACCCCGUGAACCUUUACUGUAGCCUGAUAUUGGAUCCGGGUACAUCUUGUGUAGGAUAGGUGGGAGGCAGAGAAGUCACCGCGCCAGCGGUGAUGGAGCCGACCUUGAAAUACCACCCUUGAUGUAUUCAGAUUCUAACCUGCAGAAGUUAUCCUUCUGAGGGACAGUGUCAGGGGGGCAGUUUGACUGGGGCGGUCGCCUCCUAAAGAGUAACGGAGGCGCCCUAAGGUUCCCUCAGCACGUUUGGAAAUCGUGUGUGGAGUGUAAAGGCAUAAGGGAGCUUGACUGCGAGAGGGACACCUCAAGCAGAGACGAAAGUCGGGCUUAGUGAUCCGGUGGUGCAGUAUGGAAUGGCCAUCGCUCAACGGAUAAAAGGUACUCCGGGGAUAACAGGCUGGUCUCUCCCAAGAGUCCACAUCGACGGAGAGGCUCGGCACCUCGAUGUCGGCUCGUCGCAUCCUGGGGCUGAAGCAGGUCCCAAGGGUUGGGCUGUUCGCCCAUUAAAGCGGUACGUGAGCUGGGUUUAGAACGUCGUGAGACAGUUCGGUCCCUAUCUGUCGUGGGCGUAGGAUACUUGAGGGGAGCUGUCCCUAGUACGAGAGGACCGGGAUGGACGAACCUCCGGUGUACCAGUUGUCCCGCCAGGGGCAUAGCUGGGUAGCUGUGUUCGGAGAGGAUAAGCGCUGAAAGCAUCUAAGUGCGAAGCCCACCCCAAGAUUAGGUAUCCCACUCGAAAGAGGUAAGACUCCGGGAAGAUUACCCGGUUGAUAGGCUCCCGGUGGAAGGAUGGUAACAUCCGUAGCCGAGGGGUACUAAUAAGUCGAGGACUUGACCGC